UAAAUCACAAUGCGGAACAAUGUUUUGCAAUUGGAUUGAGAACAACGUACAAACCUUAUCGAUAAACAAUUGGAGGGCAAGUCUGGUGCCAGCAGCCGCGGUAAUUCCAGCUCCAAUAGCGUAUAUUAACGUUGUUGCAGUUAAAAAGCUCGUAGUUGAAAUGAAGGGUAGUUGUGUAAUGAAUACAUUCGUGUAUUUUGUUAUUCAAGUACCCUCCUUCUAAAUUCGAUAUAUGAGUAUUAAUUUACUUGUAUAUGGUUUUAGACAUUUACUGUGAGAAAAUUAGAGUGUUCAAAGCAGGCAUUUGCUUGAAUAUAUUAGCAUGGAAUAAUCAUGUAUGAUUUUCAUGAUGUAUUUGAUUGGUUUGGUUGAUGAGAAUAAGAUUAAAAGGGACAGUUGGGGGUAUUCAUAUUCAAUAGUCAGAGGUGAAAUUCUCG
rnacentral:rRNA from 1 species